rnacentral:rRNA from 1 species
UGGCUGCUAAUACCGCAUAAGCGCACAGAGCUGCAUGGCUCAGUGUGAAAAACUCCGGUGGUAUAAGAUGGACCCGCGUUGGAUUAGCUAGUUGGUGGGGUAACGGCCCACCAAGGCGACGAUCCAUAGCCGGCCUGAGAGGGUGAACGGCCACAUUGGGACUGAGACACGGCCCAGACUCCUACGGGAGGCAGCAUG